rnacentral:rRNA from 1 species
UACGUAGGGUGCAAGCGUUAAUCGGAAUUACCGGGCGUAAAGCGUGCGCAGGCGGUGAUGUAAGACAGAUGUGAAAUCCCCGGGCUCAACCUGGGAACUGCAUUUGUGACUGCAUCGCUGGAGUGCGGCAGAGGGGGAUGGAAUUCCGCGUGUAGCAGUGAAAUGCGUAGAUAUGCGGAGGAACACCGAUGGCGAAGGCAAUCCCCUGGGCCUGCACUGACGCUCAUGCACGAAAGCGUGGGGAGCAAACAGG